rnacentral:rRNA from 1 species
AAUCAACGCUGGCGGCGUGCCUAACACAUGCAAGUCGAACGAGAAAGUGGAGCAAUCCAUGAGUAAAGUGGCGACCGGGUGAGUAACACGUGACUACCUACCUUUUAGUGGGGGAUAACUCCGGGAAACCGGAGCUAAUACCGCAUAACAUCGCAAGAUCAAAGCAGCAAUGCGCUGGAAGAGGGGGUCGCGGCUGAUUAGCUAGUUGGCGGGGUAAUGGCCCACCAAGGCGAAGAUCGGUAGCCGGCCUGAGAGGGCGCACGGCCACACUGGAACUGAAACACGGUCCAGACUCCUACGGGAGGCAGCAGUGGGGAAUUUUGCGCAAUGGGGGAAACCCUGACGCAGCAACGCCGCGUGGAGGAUGAAGUCCCUUGGGACGUAAACUCCUUUCGACCAAGACGAUGAUGACGGUACUGGUGGAAGAAGCACCGGCUAACUCUGUGC